UAGCUUGGCUGGUAAAGCGCUCGUCUAUCGUACAAGAGUCCUGGGUUUAAAUCCCAG
rnacentral:tRNA from 1 species